CAGUAGCCACGGGAAUACAGAGGGUGCGAGCGUUAAUCGGAUUUACUGGGCGUAAAGCGUGCGUAGGCGGCUUUUUAAGUCGGAUGUGAAAUCCCUGAGCUUAACUUAGGAAUUGCAUUCGAUACUGGGAAGCUAGAGUAUGGGAGAGGAUGGUAGAAUUCCAGGUGUAGCGGUGAAAUGCGUAGAGAUCUGGAGGAAUAACGAUGGCGAAGGCAGCCAUCUGGCCUAAUACUGACGCUGAGGUACGAAAGCAUGGGGAGCAAACAGGAUUAGAUACCCGUGUAGUCCCUGUCUCUUAUAA
rnacentral:rRNA from 1 species